UGAGGGAAUAUUGGGUCAAUGGGCGAGAGCCUGAACCAGCCAAGUCGCGUGAGGGAUGACGGCCCUACGGGUUGUAAACCUCUUUUAUAAGGGAAUAAAGGACAUCACGUGUGGUGUUUUGCAUGUACCUUAUGAAUAAGCAUCGGCUAACUCCGUGCCAGCAGCCGCGGUAAUACGGAGGAUGCGAGCGUUAUCCGGAUUCAUUGGGUUUAAAGGGUGCGUAGGCGGCGUGCCAAGUCAGCGGUCAAAGUUCCGGGCUCAACCCGGUGAUGCCGUUGAAACUGGUGUGCUUGAGUGCGUGCGAGGGAGGCGGAAUGCGUUGUGUAGCGGUGAAAUGCAUAGAUAUGACGCAGGGCUCCGAUUGCGAAGGCAGCUUUCCAGCACGCCACUGACGCUGAGGCACGAAAGCGU
rnacentral:rRNA from 1 species